UACAGAGGGGGCAAGCGUUGUUCGGAAUUACUGGGCGUAAAGGGCGCGUAGGCGGCCUGUUAAGUCGAACGUGAAAUCCCCCGGCUCAACCGGGGAAUAGCGUCCCAAACCGCCGUGCUCGAGGGAGACAGAGGUGAGCGGAACUGAUGGUGGAGCGGUGAAAUGCGUUGAUAUCAUCAGGAACACCAGUGGCGAAGGCGGCUCACUGGGUCUUUCCUAACGCUGAGGCACGAAAGCUAGGGGAGCGAACGGG
rnacentral:rRNA from 1 species